rnacentral:rRNA from 1 species
UUGAUCCUGGCUCAGAACGAACGCUGGCGGCAGGCUUAACACAUGCAAGUCGAACGCCCCGCAAGGGGAGUGGCAGACGGGUGAGUAACGCGUGGGAACAUACCCUUUCCUGCGGAAUAGCUCCGGGAAACUGGAAUUAAUACCGCAUACGCCCUACGGGGGAAAGAUUUAUCGGGGAAGGAUUGGCCCGCGUUGGAUUAGCUAGUUGGUGGGGUAAAGGCCUACCAAGGCGACGAUCCAUA